rnacentral:rRNA from 1 species
UACGUAGGGGGCAAGCGUUGUCCGGAUUUAUUGGGCGUAAAGAGCGUGUAGGCGGUUUGGUAGGUCCGCUGUGAAAACUCGAGGCUCAACCUCGAGACGCCGGUGGAAACCAUCAGGCUAGAGUCCGGAAGAGGAGAGUGGAAUUCCUGGUGGUAGCGGUGAAAUGCGCAGAUAUCAGGAGGAACACCGGUGGCGAAGGCGGGUCUCUGGGCCGUAACUGACGCUGAGGAGCGAAAGCGUGGGGAGCGAACAGG